rnacentral:misc_RNA from 1 species
ACACCCUCAACCUUCUUGGUUUCUUGACCAGGAAGGCUUGGACUUUUGGAGGUUUUCCUUGCUGGCCUCCCUUUUGAAGCCAGCUCCUCCUAAAUGGAUUAGUGGGGUCCGCUUUGCUGAUCCUUGACGUGAUAAGUAUCCUUCUACGUCUUGGGUUUUGCACUGUUGGCCUGGAACCCGCUUCCAACGGUCUUCGAAAGGAGACGACGUUCGAGUCGCAUCGUGACUUGACCUCAAUGA